GCGAACUGGUGAGUAACACGUGGGAAACCUGCCCAGAAGCGGGGGAUAACACCUGGAAACAGAUGCUAAUACCGCAUAACAACUUGGACCGCAUGGUCCGAGCUUGAAAGAUGGCUUCGGCUAUCACUUUUGGAUGGUCCCGCGGCGUAUUAGCUAGAUGGUGGGGUAACGGCUCACCAUGGCAAUGAUACGUAGCCGACCUGAGAGGGUAAUCGGCCACAUUGGGACUGAGACACGGCCCAAACUCCUACGGGAGGCAGCAGUAGGGAAUCUUCCACAAUGGACGAAAGUCUGAUGGAGCAACGCCGCGUGAGUGAAGAAGGGUUUCGGCUCGUAAAACUCUGUUGUUAAAGAAGAACAUAUCUGAGAGUAACUGUUCAGGUAUUGACGGUAUUUAACCAGAAAGCCACGGCUAACUACGUGCCAGCAGCCGCGGUAAUACGUAGGUGGCAAGCGUUGUCCGGAUUUAUUGGGCGUAAAGCGAGCGCAGGCGGUUUUUUAAGUCUGAUGUGAAAGCCUUCGGCUCAACCGAAGAAGUGCAUCGGAAACUGGGAAACUUGAGUGCAGAAGAGGACAGUGGAACUCCAUGUGUAGCGGUGAAAUGCGUAGAUAUAUGGAAGAACACCAGUGGCGAAGGCGGCUGUCUGGUCUGUAACUGACGCUGAGGCUCGAAAGUAUGGGUAGCAAACAGGAUUAGAUACCCUGGUAGUCCAUACCGUAAACGAUGAAUGCUAAGUGUUGGAGGGUUUCCGCCCUUCAGUGCUGCAGCUAACGCAUUAAGCAUUCCGCCUGGGGAGUACGGCCGCAAGGCUGAAACUCAAAGGAAUUGACGGGGGCCCGCACAAGCGGUGGAGCAUGUGGUUUAAUUCGAAGCUACGCGAAGAACCUUACCAGGUCUUGACAUACUAUGCAAAUCUAAGAGAUUAGACGUUCCCUUCGGGGACAUGGAUACAGGUGGUGCAUGGUUGUCGUCAGCUCGUGUCGUGAGAUGUUGGGUUAAGUCCCGCAACGAGCGCAACCCUUAUUAUCAGUUGCCAGCAUUAAGUUGGG
rnacentral:rRNA from 2 species